GAUGAACGCUGACAGAAUGCUUAACACAUGCAAGUCAUUGGCGAAGCUGCGCUUGCGCAGUCUAGCCAAGGCGGACGGGUGAGUAACGCGUAAGGAACUUGCCCUGCAGACAGGGAUAACAGACGGAAACGACUGAUAACACCUGGUAUUGUCAGGCUGGCGCAUGCCGGCCUGAUGAAAGGAGACGCUGCAGGAGAGCCUUGCGUCCUAUUAGCUAGUUGGUGGGGUAACGGCCCACCAAGGCGAUGAUAGGUAGCCGGCCUGAGAGGGUGAACGGCCACAAGGGGACUGAGAUACGGCCCUUACUACUACGGGAGGCAGCAGUGGGGAAUAUUGGACAAUGGGGGCAACACUGAUCCAGCAAUUCUGUGUGCACGAAGAAGGUUUUCGGAUUGUAAAGUGCUUUCAGCAGGGAAGAAGAAAGUGACGGUACCUGCAGAAGAAGCGACGGCUAAAUACGUG
rnacentral:rRNA from 1 species